CUCCACCCUGGAUGGGCCCUGGGCCUGCCAGCUAGCCAGGACCCACCCAGGUGGCAGCCGAGAACCUGCGCCUUUGCUUCUCUCUCUCAGGUGAAGUUCAUCCACGACCAGACCUCCCCAAACCCCAAGUACAGAGGAUUCUUCCACGGGGUUAGGGAGAUUGUGCGGGAACAAGGGCUGAAGGGGACGUACCAGGGCCUCACAGCCACUGUCCUGAAGCAGGGCUCGAACCAGGCCAUCCGCUUCUUCGUCAUGACCUCCCUGCGCAACUGGUACCGAGGGCCUGGAGGCGCACAAAUACCGGAACACGUGGGACUGCGGCUUGCAGAUCCUGAAGAAGGAGGGGCUCAAGGCAUUCUACAAGGGCACUGUCCCCCGCCUGGGCCGGGUCUGCCUGGAUGUGGCCAUAGUGUUUGUCAUCUAUGAUGAAGUGGUGAAGCUGCUCAACAAAGUGUGGAAGACGGACUAAGCCUAGAGAGGCCGCAAGGGGACCGCCCCAGGCACCGCCAGAGUGUCCUGCUACCUUUGUCUCACGAUUCCAGUGCAGUAGUGCCAAAAGGCCCCUUCCCACGUCCCUCGAGCUCUGUAGCCUGGUCUGUGCAUUGUGGCUGUCAAAUCCAUGUGUCCCCCCUGUGGUCUGUGUGUGACACCACCACUGUGUCCCAGUGUCUGGCCCAGCCAUGGCUGGAUGUGCAUCUGGCCUAUGACCCUGUGCCUGUGUUUCAUGUUCUGUGUCACGUGACCCUGUGCCCCGCCUCCCGGGGUGCCCGUGUGGCCUGGGUCCUCGGCCCUGUAGCCCUGGCCCGGUCCCAGUCCGGUGCCUUCCACCCUGCCCUGGCCUACCACAGCUGCCUCCGGGCCUCGGCCUGG
rnacentral:lncRNA from 1 species